CAUCAAGUGACUAAAGGGAUUGUUAGGGAUGUCUAGCAAGCACAUCAGAAGAGAAGUGGAAACACUAAAAGGAUUAGUAAUUUGAAACUAGUCCGAUCUCAUGGGAAACCAAAUAUUAUACUACGGACUGAACCGAAACAUCGUAGUAAGUCUAGGAAAGGAAAUCAACCGAGACCCUGUCAGUAGCGGCGAGCGAACGCAGGAUAGCCUAGUAAUAAGAACGUAUAUCUAAUGUUCUGGAAAGAAUAAUGUGUAUUUUACGCACCAUAGAAGGUAAUAGUCCUGUGGAUAUUACUACUUAUUACAUCUAGCUAGCAUAUGAUGAAAUAUUCGUAGCUAGUGAGUAGGGCGGCAUUAAACCUGUCCGAAUACGGGGGCACCAUCCUCCAAGGCUAAGUAUGAUGUGUUUAGCGAUAGUGAAGAGUACUGUGAAGGAAAGAUUAAAAGCAAGUCGAUGACUGGUGAAACAGAGCCUGAACUAGCAAUCCUAUAAGCAGACAGAGUAUUAAGUUAUGAUGUCGUACCUUUUGCAUAAUGGGUCAGCAACUUAAUAAUGCGGCAAGAUUAAAGUCCAAGCGAAGCGACUAUCGAGCCGAGCGCAUC
rnacentral:ncRNA from 1 species